rnacentral:tRNA from 1 species
UAGUGUGAUGGAUCAGCACGGCAGACCGGAUAUCUGUAAGAACGGGUUCGAAUCCCGU